rnacentral:tRNA from 1 species
UCCCUGGUGGUUCAGUGGUUAAGACUCUGCACUUCAAUGCAUGGAGCUCAGGUUCGAUCCCUGGUCAGGGAA